rnacentral:rRNA from 1 species
AUGAGUAAUGUCAAGUUAAGCUUCUGUUGUUGGAACGUUCGUGGCCUUGGCCAGUCCCAAAAAUGCUACGAUGUCCUAUCUGAGCUCAUUGCAAUUAACCCCAAUGCCUGUUUUCUUCAAGAGACCAAGUUAAACGCGAUCCCGCCCCUUAAGCAGAAGAGUUUUCUCCCCCGUCACCUCGACCUUAUCCACACGCUCCCCUCCAUUGGCUCAGCCGGUGGCAUAGUCUCCUCUUUCUCCUCCGAUCACCUCACUCUUCUUCACACGGAUGCUGGCCUCUUUACCUAGACCUCAAUGAUCACUUCCCUGGCCUCUCCCCACCCUUUGGCUGUCACCAAUAAUGUUUAUGUUGCCACUGAUCAUGCUCAAAAACCCGACUUCCUGCUCGAACUUGCUACCCACGCCCCUCCUCUUAAUACUCCCAGGAUUAUCCUUGGCGAUUUCAACCUGCUGCGUCAUCCUUCUAAUAAAAACACGGACAGCUUCAGGCAGUCUGAGGCGGACUUGUUCAAUGCUUUCAUCCACUCUAACGCUCUCAUCGAACUCCCACUUCUCGACCGUAGCUUUACCUAGUCUAGCAAACGAGAUAAACCUACUCUCGAGAGGAUUGACCGCAUUUUCAUUAAUACAGACUGGGAUCUUCUCUUCCCAAAUACCACCCUAGCUUCCUUAACCCCUUUCGUUUCCGAUCACGUUCCCUUGCUCAUCUCUAUCGACACUAACAUUCCCCGCCUCGCACUUUUUCGUUUUGAAAAUAGAUGGGCCAUAAGACCUAGCUGCCGCUCCAUUAUCCAGAACGCCUGGGCUUCAACCCCUCACCGUCCUACUCGUGCUCUCGCUCUGACAACCGCUUUCAAACGCUCACGCUCGGUGCUGAAAAAAUGGAAACGUCUCGUUGUCGCCCUCUCCACUCGUGAAAGUAACUGCAAAACCGUUAUCUCUGUCCUGGACCUUAUUGAGGAAUCCAGGUUCCUCUCCCUAUCGGAAAUCUCUCUUAGACGGGUUGUUAUUAAAGUUCUCCAGCGCACUAUCCGUGAAAAAGCCCUCUAA